AUAUCAAUAAGCGGAGGAAAAGAAACCAACAGGGAUUGCCUCAGUAACGGCGAGUGAAGCGGCAACAGCUCAAAUUUGAAAUCUGGCUCCUUUGGGGGUCCGAGUUGUAAUUUGUAGAGGAUGCUUCGGGCAAGGCUGUGGUCUAAUUUGCUUGGAACAGCGAGUCAUAGAGGGUGAGAGUCCCGUCUAGGAUCGUAAGCCGCGUCCAUGUGAAGCUCCUUCGACGAGUCGAGUUGUUUGGGAAUGCAGCUCUAAAUGGGUGGUAAAUUUCAUCUAAAGCUAAAUAUUGGCCAGAGACCGAUAGCGCACAAGUAGAGUGAUCGAAAGAUGAAAAGCACUUUGAAAAGAGAGUUAAACAGUAUGUGAAAUUGUUGAAAGGGAAGCGCUUGCAAUCAGACUUGAGUGUGACGGUUCCCCCGGCCCUCGGGCCGGGCUACUCCGUCAUAUCCAGGCCAGCAUCGGUUUGGGUGGUCGGUUAAAGACCCCGGGAAUGUAUCUACCUCCGGGUCGACUUAUAGCCCGGGGUGCAAUGCGGCCCACCCGGACCGAGGAACGCGCUUCGGCUCGGAUGCUGGCGUAAUGGUUGCAAGCGGCCCGUCUUGAAACACGGACCAAGGAGUCUAACAUCUAUGCGAGUGUUUGGGUGUCAAACCCCUACGCGUAAUGAAAGUGAACGGAGGUAAGAACCCCUCACGGGGCGCAUUAUCGACCGAUCCUGAUGUCUUCGGAUGGAUUUGAGUAAGAGCAUAGCUGUUGGGACCCGAAAGAUGGUGAACUAUGCCUGAAUAGGGUGAAGCCAGAGGAAACUCUGGUGGAGGCUCGCAGCGGUUCUGACGUGCAAAUCGAUCGUCAAAUUUGGGCAUAGGGGCGAAAGUAAGUGGAAUCAUCCUCUCUGUUGAAGGAUCAUAGCUAACAUGUGAUAUUAGGACUAAUCGAACCAUCUGGUAGCUGGUUCCUGUCGAAGUUUCCCUCAGGAUAGCAGUAACGUUUUCAGUUUUAUGAGGUAAAGCGAAUGAUUAGAGGCCUUGGGGUUGAAUCAACCUUAACCUAUUCUCAAACUUUAAAUAUGUAAGAAGUCCUUGUUACUUAAUUGAACGUGGACAUUUGAAUGUAUCGUUACUAGUGGGCCAUUUUUGGUAAGCAGAACUGGCGAUGCGGGAUGAACCGAACGUGAGGUUAAGGUGCCGGAAUGUACGCUCAUCAGACACCACAAAAGGUGUCAAUGCAUCCAGACAGCCGGACGGUGGCCAUGGAAGUCGGAAUCCGCUUAGGAGUGUGUAACAACUCACCGGCCGAAUGCAUUGGCCCUGAAAAUGGAUGGCGCUUAAGCGUGCUACCUAUACCUCGCCGUUGGGGUUGAAAUGAUGCCCCAACGAGUAGGCAGGCGUGGGGGUUUGUGACGAAGCCUUGGGGGUGACCCUGGGUCGAACAACCUCUAGUG
rnacentral:rRNA from 1 species